UACGAAGGGGGCUAGCGUUGCUCGGAAUCACUGGGCGUAAAGCGCACGUAGGCGGAUCUUUAAGUCAGGGGUGAAAUCCCGGAGCUCAACUCCGGAACUGCCUUCGAUACUGCGGGUCUCGAGUCCGGGAGAGGUGAGUGGAAUUCCUAGUGUAGAGGUGAAAUUCGUAGAUAUUAGGAAGAACACCAGUGGCGAAGGCGGCUCACUUGCCCGGUACUGACGCUGAGGCGCGAAAGCGUGGGGAGCAAACAGG
rnacentral:rRNA from 1 species